UGUCAAAGAGGAAAAAGGCAGGAAAAUACUAAACAAGCUACUUUAAUACUGACAUUGCCCUUUACUUUAGAAACAGAAAGCCAGCAGAAUUCUUUUUGAUCAUAGGUUCAGCAUUGCUGUCUCUUGUCAACAAGGCCCAAGAAGUUUAGAAUAGAGUUCUAGCCCAGAGAGACUCAUUCCAGCAGAGAAACUACUGCAACUCCCGUGACAGCUAUUUUUUCGCAUGUCUGUAAGACAAGGACCAGCUUUUCCUCUGCCCACCAGUUUUUUCAAGUUGCAUGCAGCAAGGAAGUUACUUCAGAGCUAUUCUGAGAUACCAACUGCUUGAAACUUUCUUUUAUAGAGCAUCUUGCUGCCUAUUAUGUGCAAUUACCCAGAGUUGCAGAAAACAAGUGGCAGCACAGUUAAGUCUUGCCUUAGUGUAAAUACAUUCUAGUAUUUUAGAACACAGGAUCUACAACCAAGCUCAAACCAAGUCUCCUAUUUCCAGAUGGAUGCAGCCACCCCCACACAGUGCUCUUUCAUCUUCAGUACAUUGCUAUUAAAGGACUCUGAAACAGUUGUUUAAAAAUGGGUCUUACGAGUUGCUGUGCCAACCAAAAAUGGACAACUAGAGUGAAGCAGGCAGCAGCAUCACACAGUUUGUACUCCAAACACAUGCAUAUCUUCAGGAAAAAAACUGAAAUCCCCUGAAGUCUCCCCUAAAAACAGUGUAGGAACUGCCCACUGAAAAUACCAUUUUAGGCAAACUGAUAAAACAAGCCAAUGGAGGGCUCAGAAAGAACAUGGUGUGCUUUACUGCUGCAUAAAAUUAGAUAUAAUUUGGUACACAUAUUGUCUGCAUAUCCAAAAUCAGUCAUUAGGAUUCCAGUUUCAUCAGAUGAAGAGCAGGUUCAAUUAUAGUGAGUUCACCCAAAACCAGAUGCAUUCCAAACACACACACCUCCUCAAAACCCACCCACGUGAUGCCUGAAUCUUUGUAAGUUAAAUUUUAUCUUUGUUGGGAUUUUAGAAAAGCAGGAAAUCUGCUCCUUUCAUUAGAUUCAGAAAGCACAGAGAGCUGUCACAUGAGACUGCAUUAACAGGUGACAAGAGCAGCACAGGAAGCACCAGCUACUUUAGCAGCAAGCUCAAAGCUCAGUUUCAAUUCUAACCCCAGGUGUUUCCACAGUCAACAAAGCCCACCAAGUGAGAGCCUAUUUCCCCCCAAACACUUUCCUAUGUACACCAGGAAUAGAAACAAAUCUGAAAUGCUGUUUGAGGCAGAACCAAAAUGUAGCUAAAUGUGUUUUCCAUCAGCUGGUUUAACAAGCAAGCUAAGCACUUGUGUCUGCCCUCACACCAGUGUAUCCUGUGGUGCUGCUUGCAAGGAGAUGACAGAUCACUCCCACAAAGGCAUCUUCCAUUGAUCCAGAAUAAUAAAACCCCCUAAAAAGCCAUGUAUUUUGCUCUGUCAGAGUUCUGAAUGUCACACAACACAGUUCUGUUUAUAGCUGCAGCUAAUGAGGUGACACUACACAGGAGCACUGCAGCGCACAUCCCUGAAGGUACAAACUCCUGCAAACAUCACAGUCUGCCAAUUAAUUCACAGGUUAAGUGGUGAUGGGGCAGCCAACUCCCUGACCACCUGGAAAUGAGCUACCUGGAAUAAUAACCUCCAGAAGACAGACAAAUGAAAAACAGCUUUGGGAAAAGAUGGCUGAGCAGGAAAAGAAUUCAGAAUUUAAUCACUGGCUGAACUGUAGAUCUUCACCACCAGCAGCUACCUACAGCUCUAAACAUUUAAUCCAAAAGACCAAGGGCAUGAAUACUUUUAAGUAAGAAUCAAUACUGACCAACUGCAGCCUUGUUAGCUGAGGCUGAAAAGCAAAUUAACCUGCAGUGAUUUGGACAAGCAAAAGCUCUGGGUAAAAGGCCAUGUAACCACUGCCCUGAGCAGCUUUCUUCUGCUGAGCAGCCGUGCUGCUGCUUCCCUCUUUGUGCCAGGCUGGUAGUGACACAGACAGCAGUGUCACACACACUUCAGGGACACACACAGUGCUUCUGGAGGGUUACAAGGAAGGACUGGGACUCCUGAGCCUGCUGAAUCAUGUUGCUCUACACUCUGCAUCUGUAACAAUAAAUUAUUUUAAUCACCAGCUUAUCAGUGCUGGCAAGUCUGAGACACCCCUAUUCUGGCAGGUGCAGCAUGUCCAAGGACUCACCAUCAGUGUUAGAACCCUGCUCUUUAUCUCCACAAGUAUGGAAAGAUGCAUUUUAGUAAAAAUCUGAACUCUGCAAGCCACUUGCACAAGCUUUUUCAGACACUGGUAUAUGACAGCAUGGCUCACAAGAGCUUUAUUUCCUUCUUGUACUUUUUUACAUGGCUACUACUGCAGCAAAAGUCUACCAGGAAGCAGUGGGGAAAAAAAAAUCAUUCUGAGAUAUAAACUAGCAACAGGUAGGAUAAAAGGAUAAACAGGCAAGAUUCUUACUUCAGAUUGCCCAUGACAGAUCACUCCAACUACCAAAAAACAAGAAGAUCCUGAAUCUAACACAGGUAGAAAAAUGAAUCCAGCCAGCCUUAGCUCUCUAUACCAAAGUAAAACACCCAUUUCAGCUCUCCAGUGUCAGCAGCAACUCACAUCUUGGCUAUGGGCAGCAUUAGACACCCUUCAGUAAACAUUUACUCCCAGUGUGGUAUCACAAAAAGCUGAAAAAGUGACCACACUGUUGCUACAAAGUAGAUCUUAGAAGUUAAAUAUUUACAGAGAAGUAUCUUCUAUUUCAGCAUCUUAAAAGACUGCAACAAGGUUCUUCAAAUACAACAUGCAGAACUUCAAAGACUUUUUCUCCUGUUGCUUUUCACAGCAAUGAAAUCAGUAAUUGCCCCUCCCAAACCCACAUGGGUUUUGCUUUCAAGUUUACCCUGCACAUUUGAUUUACACGGGAGUUUACUAAAGCAGCAGUAAUUAUAAACUAGAGAUGUGACUUUGUUAGGAAGAAUACAGACUACUCAGAGAUUCAGGUGUAGGUUUAAAUGUUUUCCAUUUAAGUUUAUUUCAAGCAUAUAAAAUGUAUUUAAUCUGUAGAUGGGUAACUGACUCUAUUUACUGACAAAACCACUCCUUCAAUCCUGUAAAAAAUUUUUUUCUCUCCUUAAAAAAAUCAAAAUUUUCACAGAUAAAGAAUUUAAAUCAGGAAUAAGGUUUACACCUCAGAAGCCAGGAGAACAGGCUGCAUGGUGCAGAGAUAAUUUGGAAGCCAGUUAAAAAGCAUAGGGAUUUAAAAAAUUUAAGUUUACAACAGUGGAAAGGUUGAUGCACUGAUCAUGCACUGUGUACAUGCACAGGAUACAUUUGUGGUGCUAACCACUGUCUGGUGCCUGCCAUGAAAAAUGUUAUUCAGAAAACCUGAAAGAGAACUAAUGACAGGUAGAUGUAAAGAUCUGAUCCUUCCCCUUUACUGCUGGCAUUCAGUGUUGUUUUGAAAAAUAUGUAAGAACACUCCUUCAGCAGCCCUGUGAGCACUGCUACCCAGAACAGUAACUAAAUUCUCAUUAGACUUCAAGCACCUACUUCAAGUUUUGAAAGACAGGCUGAUCACUUGAUUGCAGGUGAUGACAGAAUGCUUUGCCACAUUUAAAUUAAAGCUGCUGCACAAAUCUUCAGCUUCCCUGCAGUGCUGUGCAGUUGUUUUGCAACACUGCAUGACUUCCCCAGGACAGCUGCAACUAUCGUCCCCAAUGUGAACCUGCAGUCCUGAGAAAUAAUACAAGAAAUUCAGUGUAUUUGUAAUCAAAUUCUGUAUUAUUAGACAUCAAAA